UUACCAGGUCUUGACAUCCCGAUGCUAUUUCUAGAGAUAGAAAGUUACUUCGGUACAUCGGUGACAGGUGGUGCAUGGUUGUCGUCAGCUCGUGUCGUGAGAUGUUGGGUUAAGUCCCGCAACGAGCGCAAUCCCUAUUGUUAGUUGCCAUCAUUCAGUUGGGCACUCUAGCGAGACUGCCGGUAAUAAACCGGAGGAAGGUGGGGAUGACGUCAAAUCAUCAUGCCCCUUAUGACCUGGGCUACACACGUGCUACAAUGGUUGGUACAACGAGUUGCGAGUCGGUGACGGCGAGCUAAUCUCUUAAAGCCAAUCUCAGUUCGGAUUGUAGGCUGCAACUCGCCUACAUGAAGUCGGAAUCGUUAGUAAUCGCGGAUCAGCACGCCGCGGUGAAUACGUUCCCGGGCCUU
rnacentral:rRNA from 1 species